rnacentral:rRNA from 1 species
UACGUAGGCAGCGAGCGUUGUUCGGAAUUACUGGGCGUAAAGCGCACGUAGGCGGCUUGGUAAGUUAGAGGUGAAAGCCUGGAGCUCAACUCCAGAAUUGCCUUUAAGACUGCCGAGCUAGCAGGUGAGAGAGGUGAGUGGAAUUCCGAGUGUAGAGGUGAAAUUCGUAGAUAUUCGGAAGAACACCAGUGGCGAAGGCGGCUCACUGGCUCAUACUGGACGCUGAGGUGCGAAAGCGUGGGGAGCAAACAGG